UUCCAUGUAGUUUAAUAAGAACAGAAUUUUGAAGAAGUUAAAGUGGUUUAAAACUUUUGGGAA
rnacentral:tRNA from 1 species